rnacentral:rRNA from 1 species
AGCAGCCGCCGCGGGAAUACGUAGGUGGCAAGCGUUGUCCGGAAUUAUUGGGCGUAAAGGGCUCGCAGGCGGUUUCUUAAGUCUGAUGUGAAAGCCCCCGGCUCAACCGGGGAGGGUCAUUGGAAACUGGGGAACUUGAGUGCAGAAGAGGAGAGUGGAAUUCCAUGUGUAGCGGUGAAAUGUGUAGAUAUAUGGAGGAACACCAGUGGCGAAGGCGACUCUCUGGUCUGUAACUGACGCUGAGGCUCGAAAGCGUGGGUAGUAAACAGGAUUAGAUACCCCAGUAGUCCCUGUCUCUUAUAC